UUGAUUGCAGCCACUACCAACUAUUCUUCCUUCCUGGGAUGCUUGCUAAUUCCAGUCACCAUUGUUUCUUCUAGCCCUUUUUACCCCAUCUUGCAGCCGCUAAACUCCUGCAGGCCCCUUGCAAGAGUUGGAUGGCAGCUGGACUUCUGAUGCAUUUCCACACCCCUCUCCUUCUACAGUUCUGUUCACAGCUUUUUUCAAAAGGAAAAGAGCAGCCAACAUUUCCAAUUCCUCAUUAAUUUGUUGUAGAAUGCUCG
rnacentral:lncRNA from 1 species